rnacentral:rRNA from 1 species
UGGGGGAUAUUGCACAAUGGGCGAAAGCCUGAUGCAGCGACGCCGCGUGGGGGAUGAAGGCCUUCGGGUUGUAAACUUCUUUUGCUCUGAACAAGGCGCACCAUGGGGUGUGUUGAGUGUAGGGGUUGAUUAGCGCCGGCUAACUACGUGCCAGCAGCCGCGGUAAUACGUAGGGCGCGAGCGUUGUCCGUAAUUAUUGUGCGUAAAGGGCUUGUAGGUGGCUGGUUGCGUCUGUCGUGAAAGCUCAUGGCUUAACUGUGGGUUUGCGGUGGGUACGGGCUGGCUUGAGUGCAGUAGGGGAGACUGGAAUUCCUGUUGUAGCGGUGGAAUGCGCAGAUAUCAGGAGGAAUACCGGUGGCGAAGGCGGGUCUCUGGGCUGUUACUGACACUGAGGAGCGAAAGCAUGGGGAGCGAACAGG